GGGGGAUAACUAAUCGAAAGAUUAGCUAAUACCGCAUAUUCUCUGAGGAGGAAAGCAGGGGACCUUCGGGCCUUGCGUUAUUCGAGCGGCCGAUAUCUGAUUAGCUAGUUGGUGGGGUAAAGGCCUACCAAGGCGACGAUCAGUAGCGGGUCUGAGAGGAUGAUCCGCCACACUGGGACUGAGACACGGCCCAG
rnacentral:rRNA from 1 species